rnacentral:rRNA from 1 species
AGUGAACGCUGGCGGUAGGCCUAACACAUGCAAGUCGAACGGCAGCACAGUAAGAGCUUGCUCUUACGGGUGGCGAGUGGCGGACGGGUGAGGAAUACAUCGGAAUCUACUUUUUCGUGGGGGAUAAUGUAGGGAAACUUACGCUAAUACCGCAUACGACCUACGGGUGAAAGCAGGGGAUCUUCGGACCUUGCGCGAUUGAAUGAGCCGAUGUCGGAUUAGCUAGUUGGCGGGGUAAAGGCCCACCAAGGCGACGAUCCGUAGCUGGUCUGAGAGGAUGAUCAGCCACACUGGAAUUGAGACACGGUCCAGACUCCUACGGGAGGCGGCAGUGGGGAAUAUUGGACAAUGGGCGCAAGCCUGAUCCAGCCAUACCGCGUGGGUGAAGAAGGCCUUCGGGUUGUAAAGCCCUUUUGUUGGGAAAGAAAAGCAGCAGGUUAAUACCCCGCCGUUCUGACGGUACCCAAAGAAUAAGCACCGGCUAACUUCGUG